rnacentral:lncRNA from 1 species
ACCUUUAAAAAGUAGCUGUAAAACCUCCAUUUUACAGACCAGUUGGCUGAGGUUUAAAUGGAGGACGCUCCCAGGGCCCCAGAGGGGCGAAUUCCAGACUCCUUUGCCAGGACCUUGUACUAAGCCCCUUCCCUACGCUUUUCCCUGCCUAGGCCUCGUGGGCUGUGCGGCUAUCCUGGAGACAGAUGACAGCUCUCCCUUGGAUGGCUUUGCUGGUUCCGCACCAGCCAGCGCCCCUAUUUUUCCUGCAGCACCCUGAUCUGCACUCCCUGAGGGGCUCCCACUGUCCGCGGUGUGAGGAUGUCCCUGGAUAGUCCACUGUGUGCAGAGGCAUGGGAGUUGUCAUGUCGAGAACAUGCUAGACCUCAGUGUCCUUGAGGGAUGCCGCCUUGGGUCUGGAAAUUGUUAGAGGAAACCCCAAGAGGUGCAGGCACUGAGCCUCUCAGGACAAUGACCUGGGGUCCCAGCUCCCCUGGAGGGGCCUCCUCAUGAUUGUUUGGGGCUUGAUCACAGACCAAGAGUGACGAGUGAUGUCACCCUGUGACUCAUGGCCGGACCUUCUUGCCCCUAUUGUCUCAGCACAACAUUAUUUGACUUUUCCCUCAGCGUGGGUGGGCAGAGGAAAAGCCCUGUGGCUCUGGGGACUUGGGAUCCGGAGUUGAAGACCCUUCAGCUGGCUCUGCCCUGCCAGUGCCACAGAGUGCCAUGGCCCAGGAAGACAGGUUUUCUUCCAUCUAGGCCAGGCCAUCCAGUGGCCAUCCUCCGUGUCCUCCCGCCUCCUCCUGGUGUGACUUCUGAAAACCAAGAAUUUGUUCCUGUUGACUUUUUCUGUGCUAUGGACCAUUGUCCUCUCACCCACUCAAUAAAUCUUGAAACAUGC